UAUCUCUCAAUUACAGCCCGUCAGCAAACAAAACCGACACCUCUAGGCAAACAAAUCCGACAAAAACUAGGUCUCCUCUCUGCGACAGAAGGACAGUCUCUGUUGUGUUUGUUGUGCUCGCGGUGUGUCUGCGCAUCUCUCACCUGCUGCUCCUCCAGACACUUCUUCACUUUCAGAUCUGCUGGAAAGACUUUCUUUAUUGUAACGCUGCUCUCUUGUGACACACUGGAAUAUGAACCAUCAGCAUCAGCAGCGCAGCAGAAUAAAGGAUGUCGAAAGCAGAGUUCUGGCACAUGUGGACAGACAUUUGCUUUAAUAACAGAAAUCUGGUCAUGGACAGUAAAUAAACACAUUUCUUUGUGUGAGCUGGUGUGGCUGAGUGGUCAGAGUUCAUGGCAUAAGACCUCAACCCAAUGCAGGAGACAUGGGUUCAAAUCCCCACUCUGCUGCAAAUGUCCGCCUCUCUCAUCUCCCCCUCUCUAUGGCCUGCCUCUCUCAUCCCCACCUCAGCCUUCAUCUCUUGGCCAUCUUACCGCCCCAGUGUGUGCAUCUACAGCAAGUGAACCGGGCUGAACCAGCGCUGCUUAAAACAAGAGAACAUCAAGCAGGAGUGACACUGUUUAAAUAGAUCGGGCUCUCCAGGACAAGGCGGAAAGAAAAACAUGCCUCUUUUGUCAAAGCCAGACAAAGCCCCACAGACCUUAAAGUGGGCAAUUCAAAAUUCUGAAGGGUAAGUUUUCACAAGAAAAAAAAAAAGAUGGAGGGGAAAAAGUUAUCUAAGCCAUUACGUUCCUUCACAAUAGCUCUGGUUGAAGUUGUGCCUCUUCUGAUCUUCUCUCAGCUGGACUUCUGCUUUCCAGCCUGUCUUCUCUGAUCUCCAGUCAUCCGAGAGGCUUCUGCCAGCCUGCGAGCUGUCAAAGUAGCCCUGGAAUCAAACGCCACUUCAUGCUCAGCUAUGAUCAAAGGAACACAG
rnacentral:lncRNA from 12 species